UGUGGCCACGGGGGGCAGCAGUGGGGAAUAUUGGGCAAUGGGCGCAAGCCUGACCCAGCAACGCCGCGUGAGGGAAGAAGGCUUUCGGGUUGUAAACUUCUUUUCUUGGGGACGAAGAAAGUGACGGUACCCAAGGAAUAAGCCACGGCUAACUACGUGCCAGCAGCCGCGGUAAUACGUAGGUGGCAAGCGUUAUCCGGAUUUAUUGGGUUUAAAGGGUGCGCAGGCGGAGGUGCAAGUCAGCGGUCAAAUUGCGGGGCUCAACCCCGUACUGCCGUUGAAACUGCAUCCCUUGAGUGCGCGAG
rnacentral:rRNA from 1 species